rnacentral:tRNA from 1 species
AGGAUAAUAGUUAAUAAUAACAUUUAAUUUGCAUUUAAAAAGUAUUGAAACCUUCAAUUUAUCUUA